CAAUUUCCUCAUCCAUGGCUUUGUUCCAUUUGCUUUCUUCAGAAGCUUCCUCAAAUGUAACUGGAUCACAUUCAGCCAUUAAACAAAACAACGAAUAAUCAAAGGUUGUUUGUACCGGACUUGUAGCUUCGUAGAUAUCAUCCAGACUCCGCAUUUUUCUAGUUGCUCCCCCUGAACUUCUGCUUCCACUUGAAUCAGAUGGUGUUGAUGCGGGAGUUUGUUGAUUCGCACUUUGUGGAGGAGUUUGAUCAUCAUCCUCGUCAGCUUCUAUGUUGGGGUCAUCAUUGCCAUCAUCAUCAUCAUUAAAAAAUAACCCAGCAACUUUUCUUUCCUCC
rnacentral:lncRNA from 1 species